rnacentral:rRNA from 1 species
AUACGGGGGGUGCAAGCGUUAUUCGGAAUUAUUGGGCGUAAAGGGCGCGUAGGCGGUCUCUGAAGUCAGAUGUGAAAGCCCGGGGCUUAACCCCGGAAGUGCAUUUGAAACUCUGGGACUUGAGUAUGGGAGAGGGAAGUGGAAUUCCUGGUGUAGCGGUGAAAUGCGUAGAUAUCAGGAGGAACACCAGUGGCGAAGGCGACUUCCUGGACCAAUACUGACGCUGAGGCGCGAAGGCGUGGGGAGCAAACAGGAUUAGAUACCCUGGUAGUCCACGCAGUAAACGGUGAACACUAGGUGUAGCGGGUAUUGACCCCUGCUGUGCCGCAGCUAACGCAUUAAGUGUUCCGCCUGGGGAGUACGAUCGCAAGAUUAAA